rnacentral:rRNA from 1 species
GAUGAACGCUAGCGGCAGGCUUAAUACAUGCAAGUCGAGGGGCAGCGGGAGUAGCAAUACUUGCCGGCGACCGGCGCACGGGUGCGUAACACGUAUACAAUCUGCCUCCAACAUGGGGAUAGCCCGGAGAAAUUCGGAUUAAUACCCAGUAACAAAUUUAACGGCAUCGUUAGAUUUUGAAAGCUCAGGCGGUUGGAGAUGAGUAUGCGUCUGAUUAGCUAGUUGGUGGUGUAACGGACCACCAAGGCGACGAUCAGUAGGGGAUCUGAGAGGACUACCCCCCACACUGGUACUGAGACACGGACCAGACUCCUACGGGAGGCAGCAGUAAGGAAUAUUGGACAAUGCCCGCAAGGGUGAUCCAGCCAUGCCGCGUGCAGGAAGACGGCCCUAUGGGUUGUAAACUGCUUUUGAACUAGAGAAAACCCCUUUACGUGUAAAGGGCUGAUAGUAUAGUUAGAAUAAGGAUCGGCUAACUUCGUGCCAGCAGCCGCAGUAA